CAUAAUCACUUGUUCUUUAAUUGGGGACUGGUAUGAAAGAAAGUUUGAGGUCUAAUCUGUCUCUUUUUUGUUUUAAAAUUUGCUGUCUGUGUGAAGAAGCACAGGUUGUUAAAAAAGACAAGAAGACCCUUUUAAGCUUUAUUUAGAAUUCUUUGGCUUUUUCUUUCAAGAAUUUGGCUAAGGUCUAUAAAUAUGGUUGGGGUGACUGAAGAAGAUAAAAAUCUUCUUUUGUUUAUUAGUACCUUUACGUUAAAAAAUGACCCAAGAUUUCUUGGUUGUAAGAA
rnacentral:rRNA from 1 species